rnacentral:rRNA from 1 species
AUGCUAACUGCAAACAAAGAAUUUUCUGUAAAAUCCCUGUACCUACAUCUCAGUAAAACAGAUGUGGGAUUCCCACAGAAAUUCCUGUGGAAAGUGAAAGUGCCUGCAAAAAUAAAGUUUUUCUUGUGGCUUUUAAACAAAAGAAUUAUUCUAACUAGAGAUAAUAUGCUGAAAAGGGCGUGCAAGGGGGAUAAACAGUGUGUGCUGUGUGGAAAUGAGGAAAACAUAGAUCACCUCUUUUUCUCCUGCUCUGUUGCCAGACUCAUUUCGAGUCUGGUUGGAUGUGCUUUUGACCUGAAACAGAUCCCUACAGAUCUGAAUGAUUGUUUUGGAAACUGGUUGAAUACAUUUAAUAAAAAUGACAAGAAACUAGUAUAG